CACCAGUGGCGAAGGCGGCUUUCUGGACUGUAACUGACACUGAGGCACGAAAGCGUGGGUAGCAAACAGGAUUAGAUACCCUGGUAGUCCACGCCGUAAACGAUGAGCACUAGGUGUUGGGGGGAAAACCCUCAGUGCCGCAGUUAACGCAAUAAGUGCUCCGCCUGGGGAGUACGCACGCAAGUGU
rnacentral:rRNA from 1 species